UACAGGGGGUGCGAGCGUUACUCGGAAUUACUGGGCGUAAAGCGCGCGUAGACGGUUAUGUAAGUCAGGUGUGAAAGCCCCGGGCUCAACCUGGGAAUUGCAUUUGAGACUGCAUAGCUAGGGUGCGGAAGAGGGAAGCGGAAUUUCCGGUGUAGCGGUGAAAUGCGUAGAUAUCGGAAGGAACAUCAGUGGCGAAAGCGGCUUCCUGGUCAAGCACCGACGGUCAGGCACGAAAGCGUGGGGAGCAAACAGG
rnacentral:rRNA from 1 species